rnacentral:rRNA from 1 species
UACGUAGGGGGCUAGCGUUGUCCGGAUUUAUUGGGCGUAAAGAGCGUGUAGGCGGCCUGGUAGGUCUGCUGUGAAAACUCGAGGCUCAACCUCGAGCUGUCGGCGGAAACCACUUGGCUAGAGUCCGGAAGAGGAGAGUGGAAUUCCUGGUGUAGCGGUGAAAUGCGCAGAUAUCAGGAGGAACACCAAUAGCGAAGGCAGCUCGCUGGGACGAUACUGACGCUAAGGCGCGAAAGCGUGGGGAGCGAACAGG